AUGGUGCUGGUGAAGAUGUUGAUGGAGAUUGACCCCCUCCCGAUGAGAGGAUCGUUGGUGAUGACGAUGGUGAUGAUUUUCCCCUCUCGGAGGGAAGUUUCCCCGGCAAAACAGCUCCGCCGGAGCCCUAGAUUGGUUUCGCCUUGUGGCGGCGGAGUUUCGUCCCAUAAGCUUGCUUAUGAUUUUUUCCAGGGUAAAAGCCUUCAUAUAGCAGAAGAUGGGCACCGGAGGGCCAACAGGGGGUCCAGGAGAGAGGGGGCGCGCCCCCCACCCUCCUGGCCAGGGUGUGGGCCCCCUCUGGUACUUUCUUUGCUCAAUAAUUCUUAUUAA
rnacentral:rRNA from 1 species